AAGACUCUUUCAGUGACGUGUUUGGCGCUUUUACUAACAAUUUUACUAAAAUUGUUUUCACUAAAAGCGCCAAACACGUCACUGAAAGAGUCUUAGU
rnacentral:pre_miRNA from 1 species